CUCCUACUAGCUAAACCCACCAGAAACCAGAGGGCAAUGGAGCCCUGGUGAUGGAAUCUGAAGUGGCCAGUCUCCUGGAGACAGAGCAGGGCAGAGAAAGGCUCCAAGAAGGCACAUGACGCGUAACUAGCACAACAAAGCAGGAUAGUUUUGGUUGUAAUAACAUAAAAUCCAACUCAAACUGGCUUAAAAUGAAGGCAACGUAUUGGCUCACAUGAAUGGCAGUCCAGAGAGGCUAUGAAGUUACCUCCAGGUUGGUGGCAAGCUGCAAAGUGCCUUGCUCAUUUGAAAAUGGACAGAAUGUGUCUCAGGAAAACAGCUAGUAGACAUGAAUUUUAAAUAAUGUAUUUACUUUUUAUUUGCAACUUUAGUUUGUGUUAUUAUUUUUUAAUAAGAACAUUAAUUAUAUGUAUAUUGUCUAGUAAUUGGGAAAAAAGCAACUGGUUAGGUAGCAACAACAGAAGGGAAAUUUCAAUAACCUUUCACUUAAGUAUUGUCACCAGGAUUACUAGUCAAACAAAAAAGAAAAGUAGAAAGGAGGUUAGGUCUUAGGAAUUGAAUUAAUAAUAAAGCUACCAUUUAUCAAGCAUUUACCAUGUGCUAAUAAGUUUGAAAUAUAUUAUUUCCUUUAUUCCUUUCAGCAAUCCAUGAGAUAGCUAUUAUAAUCCUCAUUUCCUACAUAUGGAAACAGGGCCAAAGAAGUCAAGUCAAAUAAUCUAAUCCAGAUUUAGAGAGUUGGAGAUUGGUAGAGACAGACUAGAAAUCAAGAUUUAUCUAAAUCAAAAUCUAUGCUCUUAACCAUCAUUUUUGUUAGUCUGAAUCGGUGCAACCUAACUCAAUAAUAUAACCCAAGGUUUUAUACUGAACUGUGUUUUGGUAUGAUUGUGAGAUGUCAAGACCGUCUUCCCACAGGCACACAGAAUGAGAAAUCCUGGCCUAUAUUGCUGUUACCAUCAUGCUUUCUAUAGAAUUGGCUUUUAUUAUGUUUCUUUGCUCCUUUAUAAAUUCUCAAUGAUGUGACUACAUUUUUACAUUAUUAAAGCAAAUAGAUUGGCCCCAUAACUAGGGAAAUGAAUAGAGAUGGAAAAGUAAAUGCUUGGCAUUCCUUAAGCCCUGGGUAAGUGUUUAUGCUCAAUAAAAUAUAAAUAAUAUUACUGAAAGAGGCUGUUUAUAUGGGAGUAAUGGUCAGUGACAACACUGGAGAGACCAGGUAGGGACCGGUUGUGACCAUAUCCUCAUUUAUGUUCUUGAUGACAGCAUAUAUGAUUGCUCUCAGGUAAAUUUUGAUGCAGUAAAUUCAUGACCAUAACAUCUAUUACUUGGGACCAUCUUGCCAAGUGCUCCUUUACUCCAUGAAAUAUUUAAUAAACACUGCUUUAAACCUGGAAAAGCACAAUCUACAUUUAGUGAAUAUUUCAUAGAAUAUUUAACUUUUUACAUUGAUUACGUGGUUCACUUACAAAAAUCGAUGGAAGAUGCCCCCCAACUUGUGCCUGUCGGCCAAGCAGCUUCUUUUUUAGAAUCUUUGCAAAUUUUACUUUGCAAUGUAGAUUCCAUAGUGAAGUGGAGAAUUCAGACAAAUGCUGAAAUCGCAUAUUACCUUCUAGCAUCCAUGGUGUUUUGAGUGAAGCUGGGGCUGUACUUACAUAUGAUACAUAAAUAGCUCCCCUAUUAGUAAAAGCUAAGCCAAACAACUGAUAAUUUUCAAAAUCUAUUUUUUCUCCUGAUUUAAUGGUCAUACUUGAAACACAAUUAUAUCCAACUGAUCCAUGUUGUAUAUGCCUUAUUUUCAAAAGUCUCAUUUAAGCUCAUUCAUGCCCUUUCUCUUAUGUAGUCUUCUUCGAUACGAAAGGAGCUUGGAAUAAAUAUCCAUUAGAGCUUUUAAAAACACAAAACAAUGCUUUAAUGUUUCUUUUUUCCUGGACUGAGUUUGGCUGACCAACAAAAUCUCUCAAGCCAUUUUGUUUUGAUCCUAAAAUAUCAAUGGUGGCUCUCGAAAUUUGGUAGAUCUGAUAUCAAGAAAGAAUUUCAAAGAUUUUUAUAUCUUUUCAAAAUGUAUUUUAUAGUUGCUUUGCAUACACUAAAUAACUUUGUUUAUGUAAACUGUCAAUAUUAUCAUGUAAUAAAAUAAAUUUAUUUUUAAAACAAA
rnacentral:lncRNA from 1 species